rfam:Myotis lucifugus cont2.14529, whole genome shotgun sequence.
GUCCUGGUGGCUUAGUUGGUUGGAGCACAGUCCUGUACAGCAAGAGGUUACAGGUUCCAUUCCUGGCCAGGACA